rnacentral:lncRNA from 1 species
UCGGUGCUGAAUGACAGCUGGGUAUCGGUGACGUCAGGGAGCGAGGACUACUCGUUCAAGCACAUGCGGAAGAACCAGUACGAGGAGAGCCUGUUCCGGUGCGAGGACGAUCGGUUCGAAUUGGACAUGCUGCUGGAGGGGACGGCUGUAACGGCGAAGCUGGUGGGAGACUACAUUACGAAGCAAGAGGAGCAGAACGGGAAAGCGGAGGCAUUGCCGCCGGUGGACGAAUUUUUGUCAGCGAUUAAUUUGAGGUGCAUCGAGCGGAUAUACGGGGACCAUGGACUGGACAUGCUGGAGGCGGUUCGUAAGAACACGAGUCGAGCGAUGCCCGUGAUACAUUCGCGUCUGGUACAGAAGGAGGAAGAGUGGACCCGAUGCCGGGAGGAGAUGAACAAGGUGUGGUCGGAGGU